rnacentral:rRNA from 1 species
AUUGAACGCUGGCGGCAGGCCUAACACAUGCAAGUCGAACGAGUGGCGGACGGGUUAGUAAUGUCUGGGCAACUGCCUGAUGGAGGGGGAUAACUACUGGACACUGUAGCUAAUACCGCAUACCAUCGGAUGUGCCCAGAUGGGAUUAUCUAGUAGGUGGGGUAAAGGCUCACCUAGGUGACGAUCCCUAGCUGGUCUGAGAGGAUGACCAGCCACACUGGAACUGAGACACGGUCCAGACUCCUACGGGAGGCAGCAGUGGGGAAUAUUGCACAAUGGGCGAAAGCCGGAUGCAGCCAUGCCGCGUGUAUGAAGAAGGCCUUCGGGUUGUAAAGUACUUUCAGCGGGGAGGCGUUACCAGCAGAAGAAGCACCGGCUAACUCCGUGCCAGCAGCCGCGGUAAUAC